ACUCGAGUGGCGAACGGGUGAGUAACACGUGGGUGAUCUGCCCUGCACUUCGGGAUAAGCCUGGGAAACUGGGUCUAAUACCGGAUAGGAGCCAUUUUUAGUGUGAUGGUUGGAAAGUUUUUUCGGUGUAGGAUGAGCUCGCGGCCUAUCAGCUUGUUGGUGGGGUAAUGGCCUACCAAGGCGGCGACGGGUAGCCGGCCUGAGAGGGUGGACGGCCACAUUGGGACUGAGAUACGGCCCAGACUCCUACGGGAGGCAGCAGUGGGGAAUAUUGCACAAUGGGCGCAAGCCUGAUGCAGCGACGCCGCGUGGGGGAUGACGGCCUUCGGGUUGUAAACUCCUUCCGCUAGGGACGAAGCUUUUUGUGACGGUACCUAGAUAAGAAGCACCGGCUAACUACGUGCCAGCAGCCGCGGUAAUACGUAGGGUGCGAGCGUUGUCCGGAAUUACUGGGCGUAAAGGGCUCGUAGGUGGUUUGUCGCGUCGUCUGUGAAAUUCCGGGGCUUAACUCCGGGCGUGCAGGCGAUACGGGCAUAACUUGAGUACUGUAGGGGUAACUGGAAUUCCUGGUGUAGCGGUGAAAUGCGCAGAUAUCAGGAGGAACACCGAUGGCG
rnacentral:rRNA from 1 species